rnacentral:rRNA from 1 species
UACGUAGGUGGCAAGCGUUACUCGGAAUCACUAGGCGUAAAGCGCAGGUAGGAGGUUUGGUAAGUCUGUUGUGAAAGCUCCCGGCUUAACUGGGAGAGGUCAACGGAAACUGCCAGGCUUGAGUGUGGUAGAGGUAGCUGGAAUUCCCGGUGUAGCGGUGAAAUGCGUAGAUAUCUGGAGGAACACCGGUGGCGAAGGCGGCAUCCUGGACCAACAUUGACGCUGAGGAGCGAAAGCUAGGGGAGCAAACGGG